UAGUUAUUUUUUUUUAAAUUUUGAAAAUUUAUUUGGAGUUUUUCUCGUAACUAG
rnacentral:tRNA from 2 species